rnacentral:rRNA from 1 species
AUUGAACGCUGGCGGCAUGCUUUACACAUGCAAGUCGAACGGUAACAGGCCGCAAGGUGCUGACGAGUGGCGAACGGGUGAGUAAUGCAUCGGAACGUGCCCAGUCGUGGGGGAUAACGCAGCGAAAGCUGCGCUAAUACCGCAUACGAUCUAUGGAUGAAAGCGGGGGACCGUAAGGCCUCGCGCGAUUGGAGCGGCCGAUGUCAGAUUAGGUAGUUGGUGGGGUAAAGGCUCACCAAGCCAACGAUCUGUAGCUGGUAUGAGAGGACGACCAGCCACACUGGGACUGAGACACGGACCAGACUCCUACGGGAGGCAGCAGUGGGGAAUUUUGGACAAUGGGCGCAAGCCUGAUCCAGCAAUGCCGCGUGCAGGAAGAAGGCCUUCGGGUUGUAAACUGCUUUUGUACGGAACGAAACGGCUCUGGUUAAUACCUGGGGCUAAUGACGGUACCGUAAGAAUAAGCACCGGCUAACUACGUGCCAGCCGCCGCGGUAAAAC